rnacentral:rRNA from 1 species
AUGGAAUCUGAUAGCCGAACCCGCGCUAUCACAACCUCAGUGUCACGACGAUCUCUCCGGGGCCGCGCUCGGUGCUUUGCAAGUAUGAUGCACUUGUCACCAACCGGACUUGGAACUUGGUCCCUCAUCCUCCCGGCGCCAACGAGCCAUCUCCGGCAACUGGAUUUUUUUGGCAUAAACUCCUAUCUGAUGGCUCUCUCGACAGGUACAAGGCUUGUUGGGUCAUUCACGGCUUCGCACAACGUGCCAGUGUUGACUUCUCAGAGACUUUCUCUCCUGUUGUCAAACCCGCCACGAUCCGUGUGGUCUUACAGCUGGCCACCUCUUGACGAUGGCAUGUACAUCAGCUUGACAUCAACAAUGCUUUCCUAUACGGUCAUCUCCAGAAGCGUGUUCUUUGUCAGCAGCCGGUUGGUUUCGUCAACCCCCAACGACCGGAUGACAUAUGCUUGUUAUCACGGUCCUUGUAUGCCUGAAGCCCCCCGUGCGUGGUAUCAACGCAUCGCGGCGUUCCUCGCUGCUCUCGAUCUUCACAGCAGCACCUCCGACACGUCGUUACUCAUGCUCCACCUAGUCGACCAUGUCGCCAUGCUCCUUCUAUAUGUUCAUGAUAAUGUCAUCACUUCAUCGAGAGAGGACCUCCUUCCUGACAUCAUUGGUCGUCUUGGCUCCGAGUUUCGACUGAAGGACCUAGGCACGUUGCACUUCUUCCUCGGCAUUAAUGUGUGA